UGGGGUAUAGCUCAGCGGUAAAGCAACAGAUUUUGGUUCUGUAGAUCGUGGGUUCGAAUCCUACUAUCCCA
rnacentral:tRNA from 1 species